ensembl:lncRNA
GUCCGUGCCGCCAUUCUCCACAAAUGGUGCCCGAACAGGGACAUGAACACGGCUACUCGAGCGACCGGUGGAGACCCCAGCCUAUCUAGAGACAAGGGCAGCGGAACCAGAGAGCUGCAAUCCAGGGAUAAUCACCAAGAGAGGUGAAUCGUGGAAUGUAAUUAAGAUACAGAGGUCCCUCUUCGGGGAACCAGUCAGCGGUCUGCAGUCUCCUGCCGGACUAUAUCUCGACUUGACUGGUAAUCCACUUGCAUUGGACUGGGAACACGUUAAGGUUGAAGACGCACCUCUAGAAAUGCAGACAGCAAGGACGAUUCCUUGUAUUACUUGUAAUACAAGGAAUCAUACUGUAUGGACUAAAUGUGAAUGUGUGGAAUGCAGGCGGAAGUGGUUUUGUGAUUCUCAGUUGAGAGGCAUUGUGUAAGUGGUGCAGGAAAGAUACGGUAACAACACACAGACCUCAAAUUGUGGGGUUAGUGUGUGGAAAGACUCACCUAGUCCCGCACCUUUGGCAGGUUUGGAAAAGUGAUUGGGAAAAGACAAAGUAUAAGUGUGCACGAGGGUUUAAGUGGAAACUUGGAAAGGUAGUGGAAGGAGAUGUUGAUUACGAGACACAAAUCUUCUGAAAUUUGUUAAGGCAUGAUGAGUUUUGACAAGUGAGGCCUAUUUUGUCUUGUCGUCUUUUUCACCCUUCUUACAUUAAGUAGCUUGAUUUGGGUCCCAUCCCAGCCAAAAACAAAUAUAUGGGUCACCUUGGCAAAUUACACAGGAUAAGAUACACUAUGUUUAUCAAUGUCGUCUCCAUCCAAUCCAUUUACCACUUGCCCUGUGGGGCAGCCUGCCGAUAAUUGGCCUGUUCCUUCAGCCCAACAGGGAGUGCCACAAAAGAAUGGAGUAGUAGACACUUGGGAUGGGUGGACUCCAUACCUGUCCCACGCUGAGUUGGAACCACAAGAAAUAGACCUGCUAGACUCAGUAAAAAUGGACUAUUGUCUCUAACUACUCUGGAGGCAAUAGCAGCAGAAUUAUACAAUGGUUGAAUGCUACUUUACCUAUAUUCCAGAAUACCAGUGCCUGGUGUAACUAUACAUCCCAUAAUAUAUCACGAUCCACUAAUCAACCUUUAUGGUUACCACCCGUUUUUUUCCUAAUAUGUGGUAACAGAGCAUGGCCUGGCAUUGCCUCCCACGCUCGCGGUGGACCAUGUAGUAUAGGCAGACUAACAAUAUUAACCCCAAAUAUCUCUAUGAUACUAAAUUAUACUGGAUUUCACCAUCUCCACAGGUUAAAGAGAUCUGUUCAUGCUUUUACUCCUAAUUGUAAGGAUACUGCUACAUUGUGGAAUCCAGGGAAAAUUGUUGCAGCAUCCUUUUUUACACCAGGAGUAGCUGCAGCACAAGCUCUCACAACUUUAACCAGAUUAGGAUGCUGGCUUGCCAAACAAACUAAUGCUACGUCAAUUGCUUUAAGUGGGCUUUUGUUACAUGUUGAUUCUAUUAAACACGCUACU